rnacentral:lncRNA from 1 species
UCAGCAGUUCUCUUUCUGCCUCUCAUCUCCCUCCACGAUCCUAUUUUAAGCCACACUCUUUAUCCUUUAGAUGGUUUUAUGAGAUUGAGAUUUUUCUCAGGCAUCUUGUCCCUGAGUGCAGCAGCGCCAUCUUGUGGUCAUUACUGGUUAUGGCGCUGUCCUAGAUCUAAGCUCCCAAACUCCGAGCCGCAGCCAGAACCCAGGCUUGGGAGGCAGCAGGGAUUUUGAAAGCCAAUGUGGCAGUCGGGCCAACACACCAGAUUACACACUACACCCUAAGAGGGUUUAAGUUUCCUCUGCGUCAUUUCGGGACAGCUGCUUAGUGUUGACCAUUUCUGUUUGUGGCUGUCCUCUCUCAUAAUGGGCUCUGUCUUGCCCUUUCUCUGCAUCUGCUGCUCCCUCUGUCUUGAGCUUUCAGGCACCGUCUACAAACGGGGUUUAAAAUGAGCUAGCGCCAUCUACUGGGCGAAUGCCGUAAGGUCGGUUGUGAGGUCCCGGAAUCUGCAAAGGAAUGAAUGAAUUACAAAUCUGUGGCUUUAUGGGGGGAAUGUCGCCCUGGGCGACAGAGCAAGACUCUGUCUCUAAAAAAGAGAAUUUGGUCUUGGAGGCCCUGUGCAAAAUCUACAGCAUCAAGCUCUCAGGGUAGGGCCCUGGAAUGUGCAUUUUGAACACUUCCCCCUUUUCCCACCAAGAGAAUCGGGCACACGCUGAAGUGUGAGAACCACUGCCAUUAUGGAGAAGAGGCUUCCCGCCCCCUCACCUGCCACUCUAGAAAUCCAGAGAAGAGAUUCCACUUGGAUUAAGACUUGCAUAAGUGGGGAGUUGAGUCCAGUCUCUUUCCCCCACUGCAAUACCCUGUUGCGGUGACAUGUAAUAAUAAUAAAAAGACUUGCAUGAACUCCUUUCUGUGCAAAUGAGAGCAAGCAUCUCUGACAAAACCACAGUGCCCCUGUCGCUCAUUUUGUGUGUGGUUUCAGUGAUAACAGACCCAAAGUCCUGGGACCAGCAUCUGGCACACCAUGGGGGCUCAAAUGGGUCACUACUGCUGCUGUUACCUGUGUGAGGCCGGCUGGAGGCCUCCUCAGCAUUCCUCACCCCCUCCCAUCCACCUCUGCUUGGGAGGUGGGGGAAAAUGGUUUAUACUUUCAUAUCAAGGCUCGGCCUGCCACCUCGGGCCCUUCUCCCAGAGCAGGGCUCACUUCAAGCA